GUGAAAAUGGGUCCUGGGACUUCGUGGUAGAACAGCCCCCUGAUGCCCCCAAGAGGAGACAGGCUGGGCAGCUGGGCCUUCGCACUCUGGACCCUUGUCACUACCUGCACAUUCCCAUCCAGAUGGACCUGCCCGAUCUGGGCAUGACGCAUGGGCCCAGAGCUCCCCCAGCCUCGGGGUCUUCACCUGUAAAAUGGGGACCAGUAAUUCCAACCGCAACCCUUUCAUCAUUUACUGAGAAAAAACCAACUGAGGCAAUAUUCCACCGCCCUAGCCCCAGCCACUCCGAAGACAGCAGUGCUGAGCGGCAGCUUGAUCGAUGGCUCGGUGCCUGAUCCUGGUAAU